UACAGAGGUCUCAAGCGUUGUUCGGAUUCAUUGGGCGUAAAGGGUGCGUAGGCGGCGCGGUGAGUCGGAUGUGAAAUCUCGGAGCUUAACUCCGAAACUGCAUUCGAUACUGCCGUGCUUGAGGACUGGAGAGGAGACUGGAAUUUACGGUGUAGCGGUGAAAUGCGUAGAUAUCGUAAGGAAGACCAGUGGCGAAGGCGGGUCUCUGGACAGUUCCUGACGCUGAGGCACGAAGGUCAGGGGAGCAAACGGG
rnacentral:rRNA from 1 species